rnacentral:rRNA from 1 species
UUGGAGGGCAAGUCUGGUGCCAGCAGCCGCGGUAAUUCCAGCUCCAAUAGCGUAUAUUAAAGUUGUUGCAGUUAAAAAGCUCGUAGUUGAACCUCGGGGUCUACCCAUUGGUCAGGCUUAAUUGUCUGCACUGGUGAGAUGGAUCUCUACCUUCUGAGAAACUUUCAUGCCAUUUAUUUGGUGUGAUGGGAAAUCAGGACUGUUACUUUGAAAAAAUUAGAGUGUUUAAAGCAGACUAUCGUCUGAAUACAUUAGCAUGGAAUAAUGAAAUAGGACGGACUGAUUCUAUUUCGUUGGUUUCUAGGAUCACCGUAAUGAUUAAUAGGGAUAGUUGGGGGCAUUAGUAUUCAAUUGUCAGAGGUGAAAUUCUUGGAUUUAUUGAAGACUAACUACUGCGAAAGCAUUUGCCAAGGAUGUUUUCAUUAAUCAAGAACGAAAGUUAGGGGAUCGAAGACGAUCAGAUACCGUCGUAGUCUUAACCAUAAACCAUGCCGACUAGGGAUCGGACGAAGUUAAUUUUAUAAUGACGCGUUCGGCACCUUACGGGAAACCAAAGUGUUUGGGUUC